rnacentral:rRNA from 1 species
UGCAGAGGUCUCGAGCGUUGUUCGGAUUCAUUGGGCGUAAAGGGUGCGUAGGCGGCGGGGCAAGUCUGAUGUGAAAUCCCGGGGCUCAACCCCGGAACUGCAUUGGAUACUGCCUUGCUAGAGUACUGGAGAGGAGACUGGAAUUUACGGUGUAGCAGUGAAAUGCGUAGAGAUCGUAAGGAAGACCAAUGGCGAAGGCAAGUCUCUGGACAGUUACUGACGCUGAGGCACGAAGGCCAGGGGAGCAAACGGG